AAGGAUCAUUACCGAGUUAGGGUCCUCUGGGCUCGACCUCCAACCCUUUGUCUACCUUACCUUACGUUGCUUCGGCGGGUCCGUCCUUGAAAAGGACCGCCGGAGGGUGGUUUCCCCCUCUGGCCCGCACCCGCCGGUGGCCACCAAUCAAUUUCUUGUCAAAAACGUGUCGUCUGAAGUACAAAAUAAAUAACUAAAAACUUUCAACAACGGAUCUCUUGGUUCUG
rnacentral:misc_RNA from 1 species